CAAAAAGUAGUUUAAGUUAAAAUACUGGUUUUGGGGACCAGAGAUGGGGCUACCUCUUUUUGA
rnacentral:tRNA from 1 species